rnacentral:rRNA from 1 species
UACGAAGGGUGCAAGCGUUAAUCGGAAUUACUGGGCGUAAAGGGUGUGUAGGCGGUUGUUUAAGUCUGUUGUGAAAUCCCCGGGCUCAACCUGGGAAUGGCAAUGGAUACUGGCAGGCUAGAGUGUGUCAGAGGAUGGUGGAAUUCCCGGUGUAGCGGUGAAAUGCGUAGAGAUCGGGAGGAACAUCAGUGGCGAAGGCGGCCAUCUGGGACAACACUGACGCUGAGGCACGAAAGCGUGGGGAGCAAGCAGG